rnacentral:lncRNA from 2 species
GAUCCUCUGCUUGUUACCGAGUCCCUAGCCCUGAACCUUGUCAUCAGUGUGGAACCGUUUCUGACAGAGCAGAGUGUCAGGGCAAGCCAAGUUCUUGAAUUAAUAUACGCUGCAUUUGUUGCUUGGUUCGGCAGCUACAUUGCUUGGUCGAUGAUUUUGGGUGUGUUCUUGCAGAAAAUGGAUAAGCAAUGUUUCAUGACGGAUAGUUCUGUUAAGUGUUGA